GAUGAACGCUGGCGGCGUGCCUAAUACAUGCAAGUCGAGCGAACAGACGAGGCGCUUGCUCCUCUGACGUUAGCGGCGGACGGGUGAGUAACACGUGGAUAACCUACCUAUAAGACUGGGAUAACUUCGGGAAACCGGAGCUAAUACCGGAUAAUAUAUUGAACCGCAUGGUUCGAUAGUGAAAGACGGUUUUGCUGUCACUUAUAGAUGGAUCCGCGCCGCAUUAGCUAGUUGGUAAGGUAACAGCUUACCAAGGCAACGAUGCGUAGCCGACCUGAGAGGGGGAUCGGCGACACGGGAACUGGGACACGGACCAGGGGCCUACGGGAGGCAGCAGUAGGGAAUGGUCCGCAGUGGGCGGAAGCAUGACGGAGCAAGGGCGCGUGUGUGAUGAAGGUGUUGGGAGCGUAAAACUCGGUUAUUGGUGGAGAACCGAUUUGGAAGGAACUAAAGAGGUAUUGACGGUACCUAAUCAGGAAGCCCCGGCUAGCUACGUG
rnacentral:rRNA from 1 species